rnacentral:lncRNA from 1 species
UAAAAUGUUAUUGGCUGAUCUAGCGGCUAACAUAUUGGUCGCUAGUAACUAACUAUUCAUCAGAGUAAGGAGGAUGAUAGGAGCACUUGAACGAUCAGCAAAUUUAAGUGCCUACACUAACACAAAAAACCUUGUCACUAGGAAUGAAUGUCUUUUGGAGUAAAGGAUAAAUCCAACCUAUUUGGUUUUGAUUUGAGACAAACCUUCGUAGCUAGUUCAGGUCCAGUCUCUACAAGAAGUGGACUAGCAGCGGUCGUUGAGAAAAAAGAGUUGUAACAACAGAGAUUCUUCCGAGGCUCCAAACCUACAUGCAGCGUCACAUUAUGCAGUUGUUAGCAUAUAAGCUAUGGCUGCGGAUCAAGAUAAUUGCGAACAUGAGACUCCAUUUCGUUGUUUGUUGAUGCUGCUAACUGCAGAAGUUCACCAAAAAAUACUAGUGUAAAAAAAAUGGAGAAUUUUUUGAGUUUUGAAAAUACUGACCGCUAGCCUCUCGGCCCGACGAUGUACGCCGGCGCCCGGCGGCGAGGUUCUAAACUCGUGAAUUUUUGCGCAUGUAGACUCGCAAAAACACUCUAGAACACGGAUUAAUCUUUUUGGUGCUGCGCGCUCAACUGCAGCGUUUUCUUCUCUCUACUAUUCUGAAGAACGAGAACACGAAAAACAAUUACAGGUACUGCUCGCUCGACGUGUGUGUGUUCAUGACGCAUCCAUCCCCACGUCCACGCGAAACGGCUGGCUAAAUGUGCGAGCUAAUCACGCACCCACUACUCCUAGAUGGAGACUGCAUUCUGCAUAUGCAUUUCUCGAGAUAAGAAGUGAUAGGAGAGUAAAAUAUUUUGUUUUUCAUAAUCUGUUCAGGUAGAGUUUUCUGAAAAUCACAUUUGUUAUUUUUCCAUUAUAUCCCUUACUGAUCUAGCAAAUUGCCGUGUAAUAUAAGAGUAAAGUGCCCCCCCCCCCCCCCCCCAAAAAAAAUAUUUUUGAUAUUUGCACCCCCGUCCCCCAACCCAAACUGAAGUUUUGGCUUUCAGCUUCAAAACGAGUAAUGUGAGCAAGGAUGAACAAUGUUGAGUCAAUGAGUCACAUACUUAUCAUCAGUUGUUUUCAACUCAGUCCACGCUACAAAAAUUCAAAGUAAGAAAAGAACACAAGGUUACCAGAAAAAUGGUCCUGCCUUAGCAUUGUGGCGCAGUUUUCUGAGCGUUCACCUAGCGCAAGAAACAUAACUUCAUAUGGGAACAGUGAGCUCUACCAAUAACAGGAAUUCGAUACAAACUUUUACUCCCCACAUUCUAAAUUAUAAGUCAUUGCAGCUUUCUAAGAGAGUCAAAACAUCUUAAGUUUGGACAAAACUAUAGAGAGAAUUUCAAUACCCUAUAACAUCAAAAUAGACAUAUUAUAAACGAUAAUUAACGAAGAAUCUAAUGCUACUUAUUUGGUAUCUUAGAUAUCAUUAUUCAAUUAUAUAAUUUUGUUAAAUUUGAUUUGCUUUGACUCACAUUGUUUUUAUUAUAUAAAUCUGGUACCGUAAUUCAUGAAAGCAAUCUGUCGAACACGCUGUGGGCGGCACGUCGCACUCCUCUGGCCACCACACGAGCAGGGGUUGCUCAGGACGCGCGCCCUCGUGGCCGACGUCGCUGCGUCUCAAUCUCAUCCGUCGAUGUCGUCCCCUCGGUCGCACCCAGUCCAUCCACGUCGGCCUCCGCGGCGUGCCCGGCCAUGGCCAACUCCGGUCACUCACGUCACGCGGGGCGAGCGGCGGGCGCGGGCAGCCAGGCCGGCACAGGGGCGCGCCAGCACGUGAAAAUCCAGGACCGCCGGCUUGCGGUGGGUUGUGU